rnacentral:lncRNA from 1 species
UGGAAAGAGCAUCGUCGGAGUUCCAGAAUCCGACGACCGGGUGAGCCACUUGGGCCAGUCGCCUUGUCUUUUUCGAAAAGGGAAAGCAGAAAGCGGAGAGCCCUCCAUCCGAUUACGAUUCCACCCCCGGAGAGUCUCUACCUCCGUUCUACCAGAAGACCCUUGAGACUCACAGUCGAGAGGACCUCCUGAAUCAAAGAUUUUAGGAGAUGAACUG